rnacentral:rRNA from 1 species
AACGAACGCUGGCGGCAUGCCUAACACAUGCAAGUCGAACGAGACCUUCGGGUCUAGUGGCGCACGGGUGCGUAACGCGUGGGAAUCUGCCCUUGGGUUCGGAAUAACAGUUGGAAACGACUGCUAAUACCGGAUGAUGACGUAAGUCCAAAGAUUUAUCGCCCAGGGAUGAGCCCGCGUAGGAUUAGCUAGUUGGUGGGGUAAAGGCCUACCAAGGCGACGAUCCUUAGCUGGUCUGAGAGGAUGAUCAGCCACACUGGGACUGAGACACGGCCCAGACUCCUACGGGAGGCAGCAGUGGGGAAUAUUGGACAUUGGGCGAAAGCCUGAUCCAGCAAUGCCGCGUGAGUGAUGAAGGCCUUAGGGUUGUAAAACUCUUUUACCCGGGAUGAUAAUGACAGUACCGGGAGAAUAAGCCCCGGCUAACUCCGUG